rnacentral:sRNA from 1 species
CUCUCUUUGGCGUUCAAGCCAAAGAACAAAGGGGAAAAAAAUAAAAAAACACUAAAAAGAAAAAAUUCAAGAGAAAUUCAUUGGAUUUCCGAAAAACGAAGCGAUCGGAGGUGGUGAGCCCUCUAGUAAGGGUAAGGAUAUCGUACCCGAGGAUCAGGAGUAGGAGUACUCCCGUUAUAGUUGAGAGCAGUCUGUAGACAGUCGAUUUUGUCGAGGGUUUGCUUUUGGAUUUGCACUCUUAAAAAU